rnacentral:rRNA from 1 species
GAUGAACGCUAGCGGCAGGCCUAAUACAUGCAAGUCGAACGGGUGGUCGCAAGACCACUAGUGGCGCACGGGUGCGUAACGCGUAACCAACCUGCCCCGAUCUGGGGGAUAGCCCGCCGAAAGGCGGAUUAAUACCGCAUAUACCCGCAGCCUGGCAUCAGGCAACGGGGAAAGAUUUAUUGGAUCGGGAUGGGGUUGCGUGACAUUAGCUAGUUGGCGGGGUAAGGGCCCACCAAGGCGACGAUGUCUAGGGGACCUGAGAGGGUGAUCCCCCACACUGGCACUGGGAUACGGGCCAGACUCCUACGGGAGGCAGCAGUAGGGAAUAUUGGGCAAUGGGCGAGAGCCUGACCCAGCCAUGCCGCGUGCCGGAUGAAGGCCUUCUGGGUUGUAAACGGCUUUUCUCAGGGAAGAAAAAGACCUUGCGAGGUACACUGACGGUACCUGAGGAAUAAGCACCGGCUAACUCCGUG